rnacentral:rRNA from 1 species
AACGAACGCUGGCGGCAUGCCUAACACAUGCAAGUCGAACGAGACCUUCGGGUCUAGUGGCGCACGGGUGCGUAACGCGUGGGAACCUGCCCUUAGGUUCGGAAUAACUCCCCGAAAGGGGUGCUAAUACCGGAUAAUGUCUUCGGACCAAAGAUUUAUCGCCUUUGGAUGGGCCCGCGUUGGAUUAGCUAGUUGGUAGGGUAAAAGCCUACCAAGGCGACGAUCCAUAGCUGGUCUGAGAGGAUGAUCAGCCACACUGGGACUGAGACACGGCCCAGACUCCUACGGGAGGCAGCAGUGGGGAAUAUUGGACAAGGGGCGAAAGCCUGAUACAGCAAUGCCGCGUGAGUGAUGAAGGCCUUAGGGUUGUAAAGCUCUUUUACCCGGGAUGAUAAUGACAGUACCGGGAGAAUAAGCGCCGGCUAACUCCGUG